rnacentral:lncRNA from 1 species
GACUUGCUUGUUUAUUCUCUCUCCCACUGGUUGGUAAAUUCCAUGGCUCCGCGGGUUUCUGGGUAAUGUGUUCACAGAACCUAGAUUGGGGCCUGACACCUGGUAGGCGUCUGGUUAAUAUUUGCGGGACGGAUUCAUGAAGGCCUUUCCAUGGUCGCUGAAGGGGACCAGCGGUGAGCGGUUCCCAUCUCGGGCCUGAGUCAGUGGCAACGCCUGGACACGGAGUAUGCUCAGGGUUUUCCAGCAGAAUCCGUGUUUGGCCUGGUCUCAGAGCAGCCUGGCUUCUCUGGAGCUGGAAUGAGAGCCUGAGGCAGAGAAAAAGCCAUCAAGUCAUCGAGCAUCUUUCAAGUCGAGGCAGCUCCAGUGCAGCCGGAACAAGCCCGCUUGGGAAGGGACCAUCCAUCCUGCCCCGGACCCCGUCUCCUUUACCGGGACUGUUAAAACACAAAACCACCCUGGCCCAGAGCACAGCAGUGACGGGCUGGCGGGAGGAAAGAGAAAAUGGCCUCCGAGUUCACCAAGAGCCUGUCAGCGUCCUCCCGGUCUCCACACAGGGCCAGGGAAUUCUCGGGACCUAGUCCUUGCCACUGCCAGCCCAGCCCAGCGCAGAUGUCACCGCGGCGUCCUCCCCGCGUCUGUUCCUAAGGUGCACAGCGAUGCUGUGCCUCCCCCUCCCCCGCUGGGAGAGGGGGAGGUCUAUUCACGAUGCUGGUUGGUGAGCAUGGACUUCAGACGUCCUGGCUGGGCCUCAGCCCAUUCAGAAGCCAGGCGGGAGCUCAGAGAACCCGGAGCCCUUGCAGGGUGGCUGCUCACAGACCCAGGCCUGGGAUGCGUGGAUCAGAGUGCCUUCUAAGUGAAGGGGGAGGCAGGCGGUGGUCCUGGCUGAAGUCAAGGUCAGCACACCUGUUCUCCUGAACCUGGCCAAGGCUGGGGAAGAGGCUUCGCUGCGGGAUAGGGCAAUACCAGGCUGGGGUUCUCUGGGCACAGAGGUCUGAGGGGAGGAGAGGCUGCCUGUGGGAGGCUCAGGGAGCGCCCAGUGGACCGGGGGCUGGCAAAGUCCAGGCGGGGCCCCCAGCCUCAGGGGCGGUUUCCUAGGAGCGUGGUGGACCCUCGGGGGAUUGAGGCCAUUUUUUUUUUUCCCUCUGCUUUUUAGGGCUUCACCUGCAGCUUGUGGAAGUUCCCAGGCUAGGGGUGGAAUCAGAGCUGCAGGUGCCAGUCUAUGCCACAGCCACAGCAAUGCCGGAUCCACUUUAUUUGCAGCGUACACCCCAGCUCAGGGCAAUGCCGGAUCCUUAACCCACUGAGGGAGGCCAGGGAUCGAACCUGCACCCUCACAGGCUCUGUGUCAGGUUCUUAACCCACUGAGCCAACACAGGAACUCCUUCCACUCUUCACAGCUUCUCCUCCCACUUUGGGUUCCCCAGUUUUAAGUUACUUUUUCUUUAUUGUUCUGUUUUUAUUUUUUUGGCCAUGCCCUCGGCAUGUGGAAUUUCCUGGACCGGGAAUUGCGCUUGUGCCAUAGCAGUGACCCGAGCCACUAACUUUUUAGCGAUGACGCUAAAUUUUUAAUUGCUAGGCCACCAGGACACUCAGCUUUUUCUUUAUUGUUGAGCUGGCCUGCUACUGUAUUCAUUCUACUAGGUUGCUGUUGUGUGGUGAUUUUAUAAUUAUGAUCAUCAUGCAAAUGCUUUUUCUCAAACAAGUUUCGGUUCAUCUUGAAUCCGUACCUUUUUACACCUGUGAAAUAAAAGACAAGCAGAUUUUGUUCUUGUCCCAUAAAUACACAGGAGCUGCGCUUCGGGGGUGAGGUGUCUGGCUCUUCGUUACCUCCGGCACCAGCCAGUUCUGUGGACGGUCAGUUCACCUGUCCAUGCCUCAGUCUGCUCAUCUGUAAGAUGAGGACAGCAAGCGAAAUUGUUAAGGUUGUUUCCUACUUUACAAUGCUAAUUUUGAAGGUGGAUUUUAACUUGAUCUUGAAGUGUGCUUGACAGCUGCGGCUGAUCCUGAUGCCGCACGGGAAUGCUUUCAAACCCACCGUACUGUGAAAAAUCAUGUGGAACUUGUGCUCAGUGCCAAAAACAUCUUAAUUACCCGCUUUCUUUUAAAAUAUUCUUCCCAGUGGAUACAUGUUGGCAGGGGGCUGCCGGAGGUUGAGGGCAGAGGGAAGGAUGAGCAGAUGAUGUUCCUAAAACCCCACAUCUGAGAGGCAAGGGUUUUCUGUUAGUCCAUACAGCUCUGUUUCCCCAAACCUGCUUUCCUACUUAAGCAGAGAAGCUUGUUGGCCAAUACAGACAAGAUAGAGAUGAAAAAUUAUCAAUGUGAAACCGUCAGGAAACACCCCUCCCAACGAGUGGUCCACGUGGCAAGAAGGACGGGACUGUCCCCAAGGGGCUCGGGAAAUGGACCCGGGUUGGUCCCUCUGGCUCAGUUGGGAAGAUGCCGAGCCAGACUAGGACCGUUCUGUGCACCUGAUGGGCAUCUUUUUCCAGCAAACAAGGGUCUAAUUGACUUUAUUGCUUUCCUUGGAAGGCCCAGUCAAUCUCAGAAGGUUACGCAUGAGUAAAAAUCCACCCUAGAGUGGAAGGUACCUAAUAAUGCCUGUAAUGCCUAACUGGGAGGGCAUGCUCAUCUUUUUUUUUGGCGCCACCAGUGACAUAUGGAAGUUCCUGGGCCAGAGACUGAAUCUGAGCUGCAGCUGCAACCUACUCCACCACUGCAGCAAUGCCAGAUCCUUUAACCCACUGCUCCAGGCCAGGGAUGGAACCUGCACCUCUGCAGUGACCAGAGCUUCUGCAGUCAGAUUCUUAACCUGCUGCACUACAGUAAGAACUCCCCAUCUUUUUUAAAAAAUAGAAUAACAGCUGUAUUUUCUCUUGGAACUCCUGUGAAAGAUCUGGUUCCCCCGUGUUUUUUGUUUUUUGUUUUUUUUUUCCCUUUCCCUUCAGUUUACUUUGUCCCACUGUUGCCUAAUAUUUCUUCUUUUAGGUUUUUAAAAAAUUGUGGGAAAAAGUACACACACACAAAAAUGACAGCUUUAACUAUUUUCUGGCGUACAAUUCAGCAGAAUUAAGUCCAUUCAUAUUGUUGCACAACCUCCAAGGUCACCCGUCAGUCUAAUCUUUUCAAAUUUUGUCCUUACUCAGAACCUACAAUAAUCUCCUGCUUCCCACUCUGCUGCCCCGUUGCCUACUCUGGGAUAAAGCCCAGCAGAAGCAGGCAGUGGGCUCCUUACAGCUUUCUCAGGGUCUGUGUAUUCCACUCAGUGUUCCGUAAGCACCUGCAGGGUGUCUCCUAGGCGAGUGCACAGGUUUUGGAGUUGGGCAGUUCCAGGUUUCCACUUUGUCUCCCAGACACACUGGCCGGUGGGGCUUUGGGCAUGUCAGGCAACCACCUUCAAUCCCAGAGCUAAAGGACAAGCAGAUUUUGUUCUUGUCCCAUAAAUACACAGUAGUUGCACUUCAGGGGUGAGGUGUCUGGCUCAUCAAGAAACUCAACAACAGGCACAUGAAAGAUCUCAACAUUCCUAAAGAUUAGAGAAAUGUAAAACUAUGUUAUAGUCAGAGUGGCCAUCUUCAAAAAGACUAUAACUAAUAAGUGCUGCAGAGAGUGUGGAGAAAAGGGACCCUCCUACCCUGGUGGUGGGAAUGUACAUUGGUGCAACCGCUGUGGAGAACAGUAUGGAGGUUCCCUAAAAUACUAGAGUUAUCGUAUGAUCCAAAGCUGCUCCUUAGCAUAUAUAUUCAGAAAAGAUGAAAACCCUACUUGAGGGAGUUCCAGCUGUGGCUCAGUGGUUAACAAACCCGACUAACAUCCAUGAGGAUGCGUGGGUUCAAUCCCUGGCCACACUCAGUGGGUUAAGGAUCCGGCAUUGCCAUGAGCUGUGGUGUAGGUCGCAGAUGCGGCUCAGAUCCCAUGUUGCUGUGGCUGUGGCGUAGGCUGGCAGCUACAGCUCCGAUUGGACCCCUAGCUUGGGAACCUCCAUAUGCUGCUGGUGUAGCCCUAAAAUACAAAAAAAAAAAAAA